UUACCAGGGCUUGACAUCCUCUGACGACAGUAGAGAUACUUGUUUUCCCUUCGGGUACGAGAGAGACAGGUGGUGCAUGGUUGUCGUCAGCUCGUGUCGUGAGAUGUUGGGUUAAGUCCCGCAACGAGCGCAACCCCUAUUGCCAGUUGCCAGCAGGUUAAGCUGGGCACUCUGGCGAGACUGCCGUUGACAAAACGGAGGAAGGUGGGACGACGUCAAAUCAUCAUGCCCCUUAUGUCCUGGGCUACACACGUACUACAAUGGCAACAACAGAGGGCGGCCAGACCGCGAGGUCGAGCGAAUCCCAAAAUGUUGUCUCAGUUCAGAUUGCAGGCUGAAACUCGCCUGCAUGAAGUCGGAAUUGCUAGUAAUGGCAGGUCAGCAUACUGCCGUGAAUACGUUCCCGGGCCUU
rnacentral:rRNA from 1 species